ACUCGUAGACUCCUACGGGAGGCAGCAGUGGGGAAUUUUGGACAAUGGGCGAAAGCCUGAUCCAGCAAUGCCGCGUGUGUGAAGAAGGCCUUCGGGUUGUAAAGCACUUUGUCCGGAAAGAAAUCCCUGGCUCUAAUACAGUCGGGGAUGACGGUACCGGAAGAAUAAGCACCGGCUAACUACGUGCCAGCAGCCGCGGUAAUACGUAGGGUGCAAGCGUUAAUCGGAAUUACUGGGCGUAAAGCGUGCGCAGGCGGUUUGCUAAGACCGAUGUGAAAUCCCCGGGCUCAACCUGGGAACUGCAUUGGUGACUGGCAGGCUAGAGUAUGGCAGAGGGGGGUAGAAUUCCACGUGUAGCAGUGAAAUGCGUAGAGAUGUGGAGGAAUACCGAUGGCGAAGGCAGCCCCUGGGCCAAUACUGACGCUCAUGCACGAAAGCGUGGGGAGCAAACAGGAUUAGAUACCCUGGUAG
rnacentral:rRNA from 1 species